CCUACGGGAGGCAGCAGUGAGGAAUAUUGGUCAAUGGACGCAAGUCUGAACCAGCCAUGCCGCGUGCAGGAAGACGGCUCUAUGAGUUGUAAACUGCUUUUGUACGAGGGUAAACGCAGAUACGCGUAUCUGUCUGAAAGUAUCGUACGAAUAAGGAUCGGCUAACUCCGUGCCAGCCACCGCGGUAAUACGGAGGAUUCAAGCGUUAUCCGGAGUUAUUGGGUUUAAAGGGUGCGUAAGCGGGCGGAUAAGUUAGAGGUGAAAUCCCGAGGCUCAACUUCGGAAUUGCCUCUGAUACUGUGCGGCUAGAGAGCAGUUGCGGUAGGCGGAAUGUAUGGUGUAGCGGUGAAAUGCUUAGAGAUCAUACAGAACACCGAUUGCGAAGGCAGCUUACCAAGCUACUUCUGACGUUGAGGCACGAAAGCGUGGGGAGCAAACAGGAUUAGAUACCCCUGUAGUC
rnacentral:rRNA from 1 species